rnacentral:rRNA from 1 species
AGGACGAACGCUGGCGGCGUGCCUAACACAUGCAAGUCGAGCGAGGAGAUCCUUCGGGAUGAUCCUAGCGGCGGACGGGUGAGGUAACACGUGGGCAACCUGCCUCAUAGAGAGGAAUAGCCUUCCGAAAGGGAGAUUAAUACCUCAUAACAUUGCAGUUUCGCAUGGAACAGCAAUUAAAGGAGUAAUCCGCUAUGAGAUGGGCCCGCGGCGCAUUAGCUAGUUGGUGAGGUAACGGCUCACCAAGGCGACGAUGCGUAGCCGACCUGAGAGGGUGAUCGGCCACAUUGGGACUGAGACACGGCCCAGACUCCUACGGGAGGCAGCAGUGGGGAAUAUUGCACAAUGGGGGAAACCCUGAUGCAGCCAACGCCGCGUGAGUGAUGACGGCCUUCGGGUUGUAAAGCUCUGUCUUCAGGGACGAUAAUGACGGUACCUGAGGAGGAAGCCACGGCUAACUACGUGCCAGCAGCAGC